rnacentral:rRNA from 1 species
GACGAACGCUGGCGGCGUGCCUAAUACAUGCAAGUAGAACGCUGAAGGAGGAGCUUGCUUCUCCGGAUGAGUUGCGAACGGGUGAGUAACGCGUAGGUAACCUGCCUGGUAGCGGGGGAUAACUAUUGGAAACGAUAGCUAAUACCGCAUAACAGUAGAUAUUGCAUGAUAUCUGCUUGAAAGGUGCAAUUGCAUCACUACCAGAUGGACCUGCGUUGUAUUAGCUAGUUGGUGGGGUAACGGCUCACCAAGGCGACGAUACAUAGCCGACCUGAGAGGGUGAUCGGCCACACUGGGACUGAGACACGGCCCAGACUCCUACGGGAGGCAGCAGUAGGGAAUCUUCGGCAAUGGACGGAAGUCUGACCGAGCAACGCCGCGUGAGUGAAGAAGGUUUUCGGAUCGUAAAGCUCUGUUGUAAGAGAAGAACGAGUGUGAGAGUGGAAAGUUCACACUGUGACGGUAUCUUACCAGAAAGGGACGGCUAACUACGUGCCAGCAGCCGCGGUAAUACGUAGGUCCCGAGCGUUGUCCGGAUUUAUUGGGCGUAAAGCGAGCGCAGGCGGUUAGAUAAGUCUGAAGUUAAAGGCUGUGGCUUAACCAUAGUACGCUUUGGAAACUGUUUAACUUGAGUGCAAGAGGGGAGAGUGGAAUUCCAUGUGUAGCGGUGAAAUGCGUAGAUAUAUGGAGGAACACCGGUGGCGAAAGCGGCUCUCUGGCUUGUAACUGACACUGAGGCUCGAAAGCGUGGGGAGCAAACAGG